UCUCAUGUACAGACUUGCCUAUAUAGGUCAGCAAGCCCGGAAGUCUCCAGAUGGAAUUUCCCAGGCAAAGGAAACAACUCAAAGCUCAGAGGAGGGAUCAUGUUUACUAUGUUCAAGAAAUAGCCAGAAAGACUGCGUGGCUGGAGCAGAGUAGGAUGAGGAAGAAAAGAAGAAGGGAAGAUCAGAGAACUAAUGGAGGGAGGAGGAGAGUACACAGAGGUCUUUAAAGGCCAUAUAAGAACUUGGACUUUUACUCUGAGGUAGGCGAAGAAUUUAGACACUUGCAUUUCUUUUUGGGAAAGAAAUGCCGUGAUCUGACUUAUGUUUCAAAAGGAUCACUUAUACUUCUUUGUGGGCAAUAGAAUGGAAGGAGGCAAGGGUGGGAACAGGAAAACAGUUAUAAGACGAUUGCUAAAAUGUAGCAAGUCUGACGAAAGUGAUAGCCAUGGAGGCGGUGAGGAGUAAUUGGUCUCUGAAUUAUGUUUAGGGUAAACACAGGAAGACUUCCUGGUGAAUCGGAUGUGCAGUGGGAGUAAUAAAGAGAGGAAACAAGGGUGACUCAAAGAUUUUUGACCUAAGCACUAGAGGGGUGAAUUUUUCAUCUACUGAGAUGGAAAGCUUUGAGCAGCUCAGAUAUUUGGGAGAAGAUCAGGAGUCACUCUUGAAAAGUUUGAAUGAUCUAAAUGAGAGACUUUGAAUAUAGUUUUGGAGUCUGAGGCAAAGGAGCAUCCAGGGCUGGAGAUGUAAAUUUGGCAACAAAGGGCAUACAGAGGGAGCCUGGAUGAGAUCCCCAAAGGAAGGAGAGUAGAUAAAAAAAGAAACUACAAUCUGAGGCAAGUCAGUCCAGGACUAAGAGGUAUAAGCAAAGAUAAAUCAUUCACAAAGUUCUGAGACUAGCAACCAGUGAAUUAGGAAGCCUUACAAGUCAAAAAAAAAAAAAAAAAAAAAAAGUAUCAAGGAGUGGUGUCAUCUCUGUCAAGGGGCGUAAAAUGUGAGAGGACCAAAUGUGAGCCAUGAGAUUUGGCAACCUGAAGUUUAUCUGAGACCUCAGUAAGAGCAAUUUUGUUGAGAGUUAAGACCUGAUUUCAGUGGGUCUGUGAGAGAAUGAGAGGAGAGGAACUGGAUAGAAUUAAUACAGACCCCCUUUCUAAAUGUUUUUCUGCAAAGGCAAAGAGAAAUGGAGUCAUACCUGGUAGGGAGAGAGGGUCCAGUAAAAGGUUUUAUUUCUGUUUUUUCUUGUUUUUGUUGGCUUAGUUUUUUGCUUUUUAAGAUAAAUGAGUAACAAUCUUUUGUGCUGAGGAGGAUGACUCAAAAAGUGGAAAGAGUUGACAAGGUAAGAGAUGGGAGAAGACAUGCAGGGAUGCCCUUGAGUGGGCCGCAGGGCUUGCAAUCUGGUGCACAUGUGAAGAGAUUGGCUCUAGAAAGACCACAGACAAUUCACCUUUCAAAACAGCAAGAAAAGCACAGUGAGUACACGUGUUUGUGGGAGGGUGAGCAGGUGCAGUAGUGAGAGACUGGGGAAAUUCUCUUUUAAUUGUUUCACCUCUGUCAGUGAAGGAGAAAAAAAGAUUGUGCAUUGAGAAUGAACAUGAGGGAGCAGGUGCUGGAGAUUUAAAAGGGAGGUGAGAAAGGACAGUUGAUUGGGAAAGAGAUAGAAUAGUGGCUCUCAAAGGCAGUCUCCAGAUCAGCAGCAUUGGUAUCACCUGAAGACUUGUUAGUAAUGCAAAAAUCUCAGGCCUUACUUCCAGCUUGAUGAAUCAGGAACUCUGAGGUAGGCGCAGCAGUCUGUGUCUUAGCAAGCCUUGCAGGGAUUCUGAUGCACGCUGAAGUCUGAGUGUCACUGGAAUGGAUGGUGUCCAUAUGAUUGCUGGGUCACUCCGCCUAUCCUGAAUGUCAAGAACAUGCCAAGUGAGACCAGCCAGCAUAUUGUAGCUCUUUCUCCAGCCACAACCAGAAAGUCUUUGCUUCCUCUUCGCCUUCUGCCAUGAUUGUAAGUUUCCUGAAGCCUCUCCAGCUGUGCAAAACGGCUAUGAAGAAAAGUGUGAGUCAUCAUUACUGGAAAGAACAAGGUAAUGGUGAGUAAGUUGACUAUCAUCAGAUCAUGGGCAAAUUAUUUGACACCUCCUGGAGCAUCUGACUUUAUAUUAAUUAUGAAGCAACUUUGAUAUGUUCUCUCCUUCUUUUUUGAUAUCUUCUUUUCUUCUUACGUGCUAAUAGAAUUUUAACCUGGGCCAGCUAAAAGUUUUCCAGCUUCUUCCCAUUUGUGACAACCAAAAAUGUUUCCAAACAUUGCCGAAUAUCUCCUGGGGACAUUCCUAGUAAGAAACAUUUCUCAGGUAGACGUCCUUGGGCAAGUCAGCUAAAUCUUUGAAAUCUUAGUUUCCUCAAAGGUGAAAAUAACAGAUAUUUGUCUCUCAAGAUUACUGAGGUAGGUAGAAUUCUAAGAUGCCUUAAAUGGUUAGGCUUUGUGUCCCCACCCAAAUCUCAUCUUGAAUUGUAAUCCCUCGUUGUUGUAGGGAGAGCCCUGGUGGGAAGUGGUUGGAUUAAGAGGGAGAGUUUCCCCCGUGCUGUUCUCGUGAUAGUGAGUAAGUUCCCACAAGAUCUGAUGGUUUUAUAGGCAGUUUUCCCUGCUCUUGCUAGCACUCUCUCCUGCUGCCAUGUGAAAAGUUCAAGUUUGCUUCCCCUUCACCUUCCAUCAUGAUUGUAAGUUAACUGAGGCCUUCCUAGCCAUGUGGAACUGCGAGUCAAUUAAACCUUUUUCCUUUAUAAGUUACCCAGUAUCGGGUAGUAUCUUUAUAGCAGUGUGAGAAUGGACUAACGUAUACUUCCUACUCCACACU